GAUGAAGAACGCAGUGAAAUGCGAUAAUUAAUGUGAAUUGCAGAAUUCCGUGAAUCAUCGAGUCUUUGAACGCACAUUGCGCCUCAUGGCAUUCCGUGAGGCAUGCCCAUCUCAGCGUUAGAAAAUAUUCUCAAAUUUUAGUUUUGUGCUAAAAUUUGGAUCAUGUCAAGGAAGCUAUUACUAUUAUUGUGAUCGCUCUUUGGAAAUUGAUAGGUCUUUGAGUUGCUACUCAUAGAACGUGAUGAAUCUUUCUUCGUUCUAUUGUAAUUCACUCUGGUAGUCCUAAAACUUGUAUGCCUGUGGCAUAUCUUGUAAUUUGACCUGAGAUUGGGUAGGGAUACCCGCUGAACUUAAGCAUAUCAAUAACGGAGGA
rnacentral:misc_RNA from 1 species